rnacentral:rRNA from 1 species
AGUGGGUGUAAUGUACCUACUAGCCGACGACGGAUACGGGUUGUGGGAGCAAGAGCCCGGAGAUGGAUUCUGAGACAUGAAUCCAGGCCCUACGGGGCGCAGCAGGCGCGAAAACUUUACAAUGCGGGAAACCGCGAUAAGGGGACACCGAGUGCCAGCAUCUUAUGUUGGCUGUCCGCAUGUAUAAAUCACAUGUGUUAGCAAGGGCCGGGCAAGACCGGUGCCAGCCGCCGCGGUAACACCGGCGGCCCGAGUGGUGGCCACUAUUAUUGGGUCUAAAGGGUCCGUAGCCGGUUUGGUCAGUCUUCCGGGAAAUCUGACGGCUUAACCGUUAGGCUUUCGGGGGAUACUACCAGGCUUGGGACCGGGAGAGGUAAGAGGUACUACGGGGGUAGGAGUGAAAUCUUGUAAUCCUCGUGGGACCACCAGUGGCGAAGGCGUCUUACCAGAACGGGUCCGACGGUGAGGGACGAAAGCUGGGGGCACGAACCGGAUUAGAU